rnacentral:rRNA from 1 species
GGAAUAUUGGUCAAUGGACGCAAGUCUGAACCAGCCAUGCCGCGUGCAGGAAGAAUGUCCUAUGGAUUGUAAACUGCUUUUUUAUAGGAAGAAACCCCUGGAUGCGUCCGGGGCUGACGUUACUAUAAGAAUAAGGAUCGGCUAACUUCGUGCCAGCAGCCGCGGUAAGACGAAGGAUUCAAGCGUUGUCCGGAUUUACUGGGUUUAAAGGGUGCGUAGGCGGAAGUCUAAGUCAGUGGUGAAAUCCCGCAGCUCAACUGCGGAACUGCCAUUGAAACUGGUCUUCUUGAAUACAGUUGAGGUAGAUGGAAUAUAACAUGUAGCGGUGAAAUGCUUAGAUAUGUUAUAGAACACCGAUUGCGAAGGCAGUCUGCUAAGCUGUUAUUGACGCUGAGGCACGAAAGUGUGGGGAUCAAAC